UACAGAGGGGGCAAGCGUUGUUCGGAAUUACUGGGCGUAAAGGGCGCGUAGGCGGCCUUCUAAGUCGAACGUGAAAUCCCUGGGCUCAACCCAGGAACUGCGUCCGAUACUGGAAGGCUUGAAUCCGGGAGAGGGAUGCGGAAUUCCAGGUGUAGCGGUGAAAUGCGUAGAUAUCUGGAGGAACACCGGUGGCGAAGGCGGCAUCCUGGACCGGUAUUGACGCUGAGGCACGAAAGCGUGGGGAUCAAACAGG
rnacentral:rRNA from 1 species